UACAUAGCUUAAUGAGGGGAACUCAGGGAACUGAAACAUCUAAGUACCUGAAGGAAGAGAAAGAAAUUCGAUUCCGUAAGUAGCGGCGAGCGAACGCGGAUUAGCCCAAACCAAUAAAGUUUUCUUUAUUGGGGUUGCGGACAUAUCAUAACGAAGAGGUAUCGUAAUUGAAGAGGUUUGGAAAGACCCACCACAGAAGGUAAUAGUCCUGUAUGUUAAACGAGAAGACUUUAGAUAUGAUCCAGAGUACCACGGGACACGUGAAACCCUGUGGGAAGCAGGAGGGACCACCCUCCAAGGCUAAAUACUACCUAGUGACCGAUAGCGUAUAGUACCGUGAGGGAAAGGUGAAAAGAACCCCGGGAGGGGAGUGAAAUAGAACCUGAAACCCUGCACUUACAAGCUGUGGAAGCACAUUUCUUGUGUGACCGCGUACUUUUUGUAGAACGGGCCAACGAGUUACGUUAAGUAGCAAGGUUAAGCACUUAAGGUGCGGAGCCGUAGCGAAAGCGAGUUUUAACUGAGCGUUCAGUUACUUGACGUAGACCCGAAACCGGGCGACCUACCCAUGAGCAGGAUGAAGCGAAAGUAAAAGUUCGUGGAGGUCCGAACCCACGAGCGUUGAAAAGCUCGGGGAUGACGUGUGGGUAGCGGUGAAAUUCCAAUCGAGCCCGGAGAUAGCUGGUUCUCCCCGAAAUAGCUUUAGGGCUAGCCUCAAGGUGAGAGAUACGGAGGUAGAGCACUGAAUGUCCUAGGGGGUAUUGCACCUACCGAAGACUAUCAAACUCCGAAU
rnacentral:rRNA from 1 species